rnacentral:rRNA from 1 species
CUAUCCGUGGGCAGGCUGAAGCGGGGGUAAGACCCCGUGGAGGGCCGAACGCACGUCGGUUGAAAACGGCGGCGAUGACCUGCGGAUAGGGGUGAAAGGCCAAUCAAACCCGGAGAUAUCUCGUUCUCCCCGAAAUAGCUUUAGGGCUAGCGUCGCGCGUUCACCGCCGGAGGUAGAGCACCGGAUGGACGAGGGGGCUUCGCCGCCUACCGAAUCCAACCGAACUCCGAAUGCCGGCGGCCCAGAGCGCGGCAGUCAGAGCAUGUGGGCUAAGCUGUGUGCUCGAGAGGGAAACAGCCCGGACCGCCCGCUAAGGUCCCCAAGUUCCAGCCGAGUGGCAAAGGAUGUGCGUCCGCCCAGACAACCAGGAUGUUGGCUUAGAAGCAGCCACACAUUCAAAGAGUGCGUAAUAGCUCACUGGUCGAGUGAUCCAGCGCCGAAAAUGUAACGGGGCUAAAACGCGACACCGAAGCAGCGGGAUGCGUAAGCAUCGGUAGAGGAGCAUUGUGUGAGGAUAGAAGCCAGAGCGGGAGCACUGGUGGACUUCACAGAAGAGAGAAUGCCGGUAUGAGUAGCGAGACCCAUGCGAGAAACAUGGGCGUCGAAGGCCCAAGGUUUCCUGGGGAAGGUUCAUCCACCCAGGGUAAGUCGGGACCUAAGCCGAGGACUGAGGUCGUAGGCGAUGGACAGCAGGUAGAGAUUCCUGCACCACUUACACUUGUUUGACGAAGCAGUGACACAGAAGGAUAGGACGAGCGCGGUGAUGGUCAACCGCGUAGGCGGCACGAGGCCGGGAAGCAGUGAAGUACACUUCCCGCAAAGGCUGAGUGUUGACAGGACCGAAAAGAAGUAGGGAAGCGUCCGAGUUCACGCUGGCGAGAAAAGCUGCUAAGGAGAGUGUGAGUGCCCGUACCGGAAACCGACGCAGGUGGGCGAGGAGAGAAUCCUGAGACGGACGGGAGAACUCUUGUUAAGGAACUCGGCAAAAUGACCCCGUAACUUCGGGAGAAGGGGUGCCUCGAAAGAGGCCGCAGAGAAUAGUCACAAGCGACUGUUUAGCAAAAACACAGGUAUCUGCGAAAGCGAGAGCUGACGUAUAGGUGCUGACGCCUGCCCGGUGCUGGAAGGUUAAGGGGAAGUGUUAGGGGAAACCCGAAGCAGAGAACCGAAGCCCCAGUAAACGGCGGCCGUAACUAUAACGGUCCUAAGGUAGCGAAAUUCCUUGUCGGGUAAGUUCCGACCCGCACGAAUGGCGUAACGACUUGUGAGCUGUCUCAACAGGAGGCCCGGUGAAAUUGAAGUAUGUGUGAAGAUGCACAUUACCCGCGACUGGACGGAAAGACCCCGUAGAGCUUUACUGUAACCUGACAUUGGAUCUUGAUAACGGAUGCACAGGAUAGGUGGGACGCUGGGAGGUAUGGACUUUGGUCUGUACGGAGCGGACGUUGGGAUACCACUCUUCUGUUAUUGAGAUUCUAACCUCAAGCCGUAAGCCGGAUGAGAGACAGUGUCAGGCGGACAGUUUGACUGGGGCGGUCGCCUCCGAAAGAGUAACGGAGGCGCCCAAAGGUACCCUCAGAAUGGAUGGAAACCAUUCGAAGAGAGCAAAGUCAGAAGGGUGCUUGACUGCGAGACCAACAAGUCGAGCAGGUACGAAAGUAGGGCUUAGUGAUCCGGCGGUAAGAGAGUGGAAUUGCCGUCGCUCAACGGAUAAAAGCUACCUCGGGGAUAACAGGCUGAUCUCCCCCAAGAGUCCACAUCGACGGGGAGGUUUGGCAC